CUGCCCGUAUGGAGCUUUUCUGGAAUAAUUUGUGAACACCUCACAGAACAAGAAGCAAGAAGUAAGAAAUUCAGUAGUCUGUUUUCACCCAUUUUCCAGCAGCCAGAUGGAUGAUGGUGUGCUGCUGACUGCACUUUCCUUCUAGGGAGAGGAGAAGUGAGUGAGCAAGUGGUUGUGUGGGAACUUUGCUGCUAGCCAAGGCCAAAUCACCACAACUAGCUGGCAACCAAGCACCACCCUGCCACUCGUUCACCUUCCCCAUGCUGAGCAGGAUGAUGGAGAGAAUCAGAGGGAUAAAAGUGAGAAAACCUGUGGGUUGAGAUAAAGACAGUUU